GUGCAUGCCCGGCUGCCGUUGCUGCCCCUGCCUCGUACAAACGUCAGAGAAGGCACAUGACACGCCCCUGGGGGCCAUCUGGCCCAAGUCCACCUGCGCGGCUGAGUGGAGGAUGCUAGGUUGCUGUGCUGUUUCUCCUACUGUCUUGCUGCCGCACCACCCCUCAGAAAAACCGGGUCGUCAGUUUCCUGCGGUUUGCACUCACCAAAUAUACUUAGCAAUUUGCAAUUCACCCGCAGGAUUAUUCCAGCCUCUGUGAUCACACACAGAAGGAUGAGCCUUCCUCGUGAGGGUUGGAGAUGGAGGGAGAAGGGAUGGAGAGUAAGGAUGGGACGGAGGUUGUGGAGCAGCAGACCAACACGCCAGAAAGGAAAAUAAUGAUCAUCUCAAUUUUUAUAUGUGGAGGCAUUGCUUUUCUUCUUUGGGGGAUUUUAAGAUUUCCCAGAAAAUUUGGAAUUCCAAGGCACCUUAGAAACAAGACAUGCCUAGAAAAUUUGACUAUGUGUCCACAAGGCUGGAACUGAAUCAAUAAUAAUUGCUUCUUUCAAUCUGAACAUGAAACAACGUGGAUCAAUGGCUGAGAAAACUGCAGAAGUUAUGGAUCUCUGGCCAGGCUCAACUCUCAGAAUGAAAUGGGAAUCUUUGAUGCAUUAUCUGGGGCCGUCUUUAUAUUGGUUUGAACUGAGCAAGCACAAUGCAAACAAAACGUGGAUGUGGGCAGAUGGAGCUACAUUCAGCAAUUGUGAAAGAAUCGAGUUUUGUGCUAUGAGUCAUGGGAGCAAAACGUGAGUAUUUAGAAGUGGAGAGGACCACGAAGAAGGAAGCCCUGGUGACUUGAAGAAAUCAUGGAGAGUUCUCCGGAUUCCCACAAACCUAUGGGGUUUAGAUUCCAGCUAAUACUUACACGGGUCUCAGAAGGACAGAGGGCAAGGGUUAACAUCUGGCUGAUAUUAAAGUCUCUGCACCUCUUAAUAUUUUAAAAAAAAAAAAAA
rnacentral:lncRNA from 1 species